AAGUCGUAACAAGGUAACCGUAGGUGAACCUGCGGUUGGAUCAUUAACAAAAUUAGAUUUUUUUAUUUUAUAAUUAAAUCGAAAAUUAGUUUAAGCUCUUUUUUUUAAAAGGAGUUUAUUCUUCCACAUUAUGUGAACUGUAUUAUUGUUAAAUUUUCUUUAGGAAUUAAAUUUUUUUUUUUUUGAAAAAUAAAGAGAUUUUUAAUUUAUUUUAAACUAAAGAAAAUAUUUUUUAUAUUAAACUUUCUAGAUUAAUUUUUUGUCUUUAAAUUUUUUAAAUAAUUUUAAUUUAAAACAACUUUUGACAACGGAUCUCUAGGCUCUC
rnacentral:misc_RNA from 1 species